CUGGCCUUAGCUUGGGGGAGCUUAAGGAUCUUGAUUUUGCCUUUGCUGAUUCAGUGGCAGCCAUGUAUGUUGGUACCAGUGGGGAGCUUGAAAAUGAGCUGUUUGAGUCUAUUCCACCUCCCAAUGAACGUUGCUUCUUGUGACCUCUGCAAAAUGGUGGAGGAUUAGAAAUUUGACUUCAGGAAGCAAAAGAACAGCUAUCAUCCCACCUUUGAUCGUUCGAAUCCAACUUCAAAAAUCAAUGAAAAAUGGAUGUAAAAGAAACUCAGAGGAAGACAAUGAAGAGACUUGUUAAGGAACAACAAAAAGUGGCCGUCUUUAGUAAUUCGACAAUGUGAUUCGUGGUUGAGUUUUAGUGAAUACACUCAUGUGCUUCAUAGAAGAGGAAUUAAUCUAGGAGAAUUGAAAGUGUUUUGAGGAAGAUGAAGUCUAUUUGAACACACUUGUGAUUGUAUGCUAACGAUGGACUGCAAGCAUUUCAAAGUGGCAAUGGCUUGGCGCCUAACAGCUCUUCCUCUAAUAAUUGCCUGUAGC